AUGUAUUAUAUAUAAUAUAUAUAUUAUACAUAUAUAUAUAUACACAUAUACAUAUUUUUGUCAAACACAGUAUUUAAGUUCAUACCAAAUGUAAGGGUAUCAUGGAAGAGGAUCUUUACAUUCCUACUUUGUGGGUGGAAGCAAUAAUACAAACUAUUAGCGCCAUAGAAAGUAAGGUACUUGAAUCAACCUCACAAUGAAUGGUAGUCUAAAGGAACAAAUGUUAUAGGAUGACAGCUUAGUCCUCUGUCAUUAUUUGCAACCUCCAAAACACCAUAACAAUAAAUAAAUAAAGUCACCCCUUCACACCAAGAAAUCGCAAACAGACAUACAUCCUUACUGAAAAAUCUGAUUGAAAGCAAUUUGAAAAGAAAUAAAUGCAAUUUGAUAUAAAAAACAAAAACAACAACAAAAACAAAAAAACAAAAAAAAAAAAAAAACAAAAAACAACAACAACAACAACAAAAAAAAUGCAUCAGCUCUGCAAUAGUUCCUGUGAAUAGACUGAUCUGACUUAAGUCUUUUUAACCUUCAAAGAUGAUUAGGAAGUCAUUUUUUGUUGUUGUUGUUGCACAAAUGGAUAGAUAGAUUUCCCAGCAAGUUUUGGAGACAGGCUGAUAGUAGGUACAAUUAAUUCAGCACAUAUCAUUUACUGCAUCCUCGCUUCUUUCACAGAAACUCUUGCCAACUGAUCCCAGGCAGAAGAUUGGCUUUGGUUCUGCAAGCAGCUGCUCAUCUUCCCACUUUGCUGGAGACAGAGCAGAAGUUUUCAGCAAGAAUUGGGCUUUUUAUUGGAUCUGAAGUAUCUUCCUCAACAAAGGUCUUCAAUACUACCUGGAUUAUAAGUAACAUCAUUUAUAAUGACAGUACUAUGAUGCUAAAAAUGACUUCCAUGAAUGCAGCAAGAAUCACAAAGACUGGAAUAUGUGAGGAGCUCUUGUAUGGGCUGAUGGUGCAGAUCAUGACAGAAACACAAAACAAGGAAACUCCAGGGCUGCAUUAAGGUAUGCUGGGUAAUGUAUGGCUGGACACAGACUGCAGAGUAAGGAGCCAGACUUAAUCAGCUACUCAAUAUGGUGUCAGCCUCAUCAAAGUGGCUGAGAUGAAGGCUCAUUUCAUACAUUUCAGUUUAUGGCUAUUGAUAUGGAAAGUUAUGAAGUCUUGAAGUACCUAUGAAACUCCUUAAGUCACAUUGAAAUUUGGGUUAGAAUAUCCUCUUCCAAACUGACGUCUUUUCCAUUAUAAAGCUAAAGGGGUUCUAUCAGCUUAUUAUGUACCCAGAAAUUUCUAUCCCAGUGUGAAGUAGUUAUCAGCAGCAUCUACCAAACGUAUGUCAUUCUGUUUCCUUUAUUAUAUAUACAUUAUAUAUAUACAUGUAUAUCAAAAUACAAUGUUUUAUCAAUUUAUAUACAUAUAUAUAUAUAUAUAUAUAUAUAUAUAUAUAUAAAUGAAUAUAUAUGACAGUGUAUCAGAGGCAUCUUGAAGGACACAGACUAAGAUAUAUUUUCUUUAAUGGGAACUAAAUUUUGAGUCCUCAGCAGUGGUGACAGCAUUCUUACAAAAAUAUUAAGAUAACAUAAUUGCUUGGAGAUAUCUUCCAUCAGUAACUGGGAAAAUGAAGAAAAAUUCAGUUAGCUUUAGCAGACUGAGGAAAACGAAGGUAAUAUGCCUCUGAAUCAUAAUGAAAAUUCAUGGUAAAGGGCAUAAAAAUUUGCCAGACAGGAAGAAAAUGCUUAGCUCAAAAAAGCAUGUUUGUUGCUUUGUCACUACACCCUUCAGUGUCCUCCUCUUCUAUAAAAUGUCUAGUUGUCUUAUUUAUAAUAUUUGCUGUGAUGAUCAAGCUUGACAACCUUCUUCAUAUACUUACAUAAUCCAACAUUAUUAAAUAAUUCUGUCUAAAUUCCCAGAUUUUGCCAUUAAAUAACAAGUCUGUGGUAUUGGGUCCCACUCCCCCUCCCCCCAAUAAACAUUGUGUGACACUUUAUUUUUUCA
rnacentral:lncRNA from 1 species